GAUGAACGCUGGCGGCGUGCCUAAUACAUGCAAGUCGAGCGAACGGACGAGAAGCUUGCUUCUCCGAUGUUAGCGGCGGACGGGUGAGUAACACGUGGAUAACCUACCUAUAAGACUGGGAUAACUUCGGGAAACCGGAGCUAAUACCGGAUAAUAUUUUGAACCGCAUGGUUCAAAAGUGAAAGACGGUCUUGCUGUCACUUAUAGAUGGAUCCGCGCUUCAUUAGCUAGUUGGUAAGGUAACGGCUUACCAAGGCAACGAUGCAUAGCCGACCUGAGAGGGUGAUCGGCCACACUGGAACUGAGACACGGUCCAGACUCCUACGGGAGGCAGCAGUAGGGAAUCUUCCGCAAUGGGCGAAAGCCUGACGGAGCAACGCCGCGUGAGUGAUGAAGGUCUUCGGAUCGUAAAACUCUGUUAUUAGGGAAGAACAUAUGUGUAAGUAACUGUGCACAUCUUGACGGUACCUAAUCAGAAAGCCACGGCUAACUACGUG
rnacentral:rRNA from 1 species